GUGGGUAGUUUGACUGGGGCGGUCUCCUCCUAAAGAGUAACGGAGGAGCACGAAGGUUGGCUAAUCCUGGUCGGACAUCAGGAGGUUAGUGCAAUGGCAUAAGCCAGCUUGACUGCGAGCGUGACGGCGCGAGCAGGUGCGAAAGCAGGUCAUAGUGAUCCGGUGGUUCUGAAUGGAAGGGCCAUCGCUCAACGGAUAAAAGGUACUCCGGGGAUAACAGGCUGAUACCGCCCAAGAGUUCAUAUCGACGGCGGUGUUUGGCACCUCGAUGUCGGCUCAUCACAUCCUGGGGCUGAAGUAGGUCCCAAGGGUAUGGCUGUUCGCCAUUUAAAGUGGUACGCGAGCUGGGUUUAGAACGUCGUGAGACAGUUCGGUCCCUAUCUGCCGUGGGCGCUGGAGAACUGAGGGGGGCUGCUCCUAGUACGAGAGGACCGGAGUGGACGCAUCACUGGUGUUCGGGUUGUCAUGCCAAUGGCACUGCCCGGUAGCUAAAUGCGGAAGAGAUAAGUGCUGAAAGCAUCUAAGCACGAAACUUGCCCCGAGAUGAGUUCUCCCUGAGACUUAGAGUCUCCUGAAGGAACGUUGAAGACGACGACGUUGAUAGGCCGGGUGUGUAAGCGCAGCGAUGCGUUGAGCUAACCGGUACUAAUGAACCGUGAGGCUUA
rnacentral:rRNA from 4 species